AGCUUGUUGGUGAGGUAAUGGCUUACCAAGGCGACGACGGGUAGCCGGCCUGAGAGGGUGACCGGCCACACUGGGACUGAGACACGGCCCAGACUCCUACGGGAGGCAGCAGUGGGGAAUAUUGCACAAUGGGCGCAAGCCUGAUGCAGCAACGCCGCGUGAGGGAUGACGGCCUUCGGGUUGUAAACCUCUUUUGUCAGGGAACAAGGCCUUUGUGGUUGAGGGUACCUGGAGAAAAAGCACCGGCUAACUACGUGCCAGCAGCCGCGGUAAUACGUAGGGUGCGAGCGUUGUCCGGAAUUAUUGGGCGUAAAGAGCUCGUAGGCGGUCUGUCGCGUCUGCUGUGAAAUCCCGAGGCUCAACUUCGGGCUUGCAGUGGGUACGGGCAGGCUAGAGUGCGGUAGGGGAGAAUGGAACUCCUGGUGUAGCGGUGGAAUGCGCAGAUAUCAGGAAGAACACCGAUGGCGAAGGCAGUUCUCUGGGCCGUAACUGACGCUGAGGAGCGAAAGCGUGGGGAGCGAACAGGAUUAGAUACCCUGGUAGUCCACGCCGUAAACGUUGGGCGCUAGAUGUGGGGACCAUUCCACGGUUUCCGUGUCGCAGCUAACGCAUUAAGCGCCCCGCCUGGGGAGUACGGCCGCAAGGCUAAAACUCAAAGGAAUUGACGGGGGCCCGCACAAGCGGCGGAGCAUGCGGAUUAAUUCGAUGCAACGCGAAGAACCUUACCAAGGCUUGACAUACACCGGAACGCCCUAGAAAUAGGGAACUCUUUGGACACUGGUGUACAGGUGGUGCAUGGUUGUCGUCAGCUCGUGUCGUGAGAUGUUGGGUUAAGUCCCGCAACGAGCGCAACCCUCGUUCUAUGUUGCCAGCACGUGAUGGUGGGAACUCAUAGGAGACUGCCGGGGUCAACUCGGAGGAAGGUGGGGAUGACGUCAAAUCAUCAUGCCCCUUAUGUCUUGGGCUUCACGCAUGCUACAAUGGCCGGUACAAAGGGCUGCGAUGCCGUAAGGUGGAGCGAAUCCCAAAAAGCCGGUCUCAGUUCGGAUUGAGGUCUGCAACUCGACCUCAUGAAGUCGGAGUCGCUAGUAAUCGCAGAUCAGCAACGCUGCGGUGAAUACGUUCCCGGGCCUUGUACACACCGCCCGUCA
rnacentral:rRNA from 1 species